UACGUAGGGUGCAAGCGUUGUCCGGAAUUAUUGGGCGUAAAGAGCUCGUAGGCGGUUUGUCACGUCGGAUGUGAAACCCCGGGGCUCAACCCCGGGCCUGCAUUCGAUACGGGCAGACUAGAGUUCGGCAGGGGAGACUGGAAUUCCUGGUGUAGCGGUGAAAUGCGCAGAUAUCAGGAGGAACACCGGUGGCGAAGGCGGGUCUCUGGGCCGAUACUGACGCUGAGGAGCGAAAGCGUGGGGAGCGAACAGG
rnacentral:rRNA from 1 species